rnacentral:misc_RNA from 1 species
GGAAUUUUGAACCAAUUGACAAGAUUUUGGAUGGAUAUGAAGGUGCUUUUGCUUGACGAGGUCUACAUCGUGAAUAUCCUAGGAUACAUAGCAUAUAAUUUUGUAAUAGGUGCAUACUCGUAUUGGGGACCAAAGGCUGGUUAUAACAUAUACCACAUGAACAAUGCAGAUCUGAUGUUUGGAGGUAUUACUAUCAUAUGUGGAAUAUUUGGAACCUUAGCAGGAGGUUUUGCUCUGGAUCGAAUGACUAACACGAUAUCCAAUGCCUUCAAGCUUCUUGCAGUGGCAACAUUUUUUGGAGCAAUAUUUUGCUUUGCUGCCUUUUGUUUUAAGAGCUUGUAUGUAUACAUCGCUCUUUUUGCCAUAGGAGAAUUGUUAGUAUUUGCAACACAGGCCCCGGUAAAUUAUGUCUGUCUGCACUGUGUUAAACCAAGUAUGAGACCAUUAUCUAUGGCUAUGUCCACUGUUUCCAUUCACAUAUUUGGUGAUGUGCCUUCCUCUCCUCUUGUGGGGGUUCUCCAGGAUCACACUAAUAAUUGGAGAGUUACUGCUCUAAUCCUCACAUCGGUUCUGUUUCUGGCGUCUGGAAUAUGGUUUAUAGGGAUCUUUCUUCAUAGUGUUGAUAGAUUUGAUGAAGAAAAUGAGCUUCAAGUUAGUGUUACUGACAGAUCAAA